CCUACGGGAGGCAGCAGUGAGGAAUAUUGGUCAAUGGUCGGGAGACUGAACCAGCCAAGCCGCGUGAGGGAUGAAGGUACAGAGUAUCGUAAACCUCUUUUGUCAGGGCACAAAGGCGGGGACGUGUCCCCGGAUGAGUGUACCUGACGACAAAGCAUCGGCUAACUCCGUUCCAGCAGCCGCGGUAAUACGGAGGAUGCGAUCGUUAUCCGGAUUUAUGGGGGUAAAGGGGUGCGCGGGCGGUCUGUUAAGUCAGCGGUAAAAGCCCGUGGCUCAACCCCGGCCCGCCGUUGAAACUGGCAGUCUCGAGUACAGUAGAGGUGGGCGGAAUGUGUGGUGGAGCGGUGAAAUGCUUAGAUAUCACGAAGAACUCCGAUUGCGAAGGCAGCUCACUGGACUGCAACUGACACUGAGGCUCGAAAGUGUGGGUAUCAAACAGGAUUAGAUACCCCAGUAGUC
rnacentral:rRNA from 1 species